UACGGAGGGGGCAAGCGUUGUUCGGAAUUACUGGGCGUAAAGGGCGCGCAGGCGGCUGCUCAAGUCGGGCGUGAAAGGCCUGGGCUCAACCCGGGAAUUGCGCUUGAGACUGGGCUGGCUUGAGGGCGGGAGAGGUCGGUGGAAUUCCCGGUGUAGUGGUGAAAUGCGUAGAGAUCGGGAGGAACACCUGUGGCGAAGGCGGCCGACUGGGCCGACCCUGACGCUGAGGCGCGAAGGCGUGGGGAGCGAACGGG
rnacentral:rRNA from 1 species